UACGUAGGCAGCAAGCGUUGUUCGGAAUUACUGGGCGUAACGAGCGCGCAGGCGGUCGUUCAAGUCGCGUGUGAAAGCCCCCGGCUCAACUGGGGAGGGUCACGCGAUACUGAUCGACUCGAAGGCAGGAGAGGGAAGUGGAAUUCCCGGUGUAGUGGUGAAAUGCGUAGAUAUCGGGAGGAACACCAGUGGCGAAGGCAGGUCUCUGGGCCACUACUGACGCUGAGGAGCGAAAGCAUGGGGAGCGAACAGG
rnacentral:rRNA from 1 species